ensembl:lncRNA
AUAAGUUAGAAAAUUAGAGAUUAUAAACAAUACCUGGCAUCUAUUGCCAUCAGGAUGAAAUUUCAGCUUUCAUAAGUCAGCAACAUACUAAAAAACUCAGGCUAUUAAAAUCUGAGAUGAGAGCAUGGCAAAAUGUAAUCCAAGACAGCAGAAAGCAAAUGACAACCAGCACAGACCUCCACACCUGGAAUUCUUUGAUUCCUACCGUUAACUCGCAAACCACGCACAGCUAGUUUAAGUAUUGCAAAACACACCAAUGUGGUUUAAGAGCUUCAUAUUCCCACCCCAAACAAAAUACUCAUACUCUACGUAGACAGAAGCAGUGAGGGACUUGCUUUGCUUGGGUUUGUAGCACAAGGUGCUGGGAACAAGAUUUCUUUCUUUGUAGUGCACUUUGCUGAUCACUCUAAAAACUUCUGUUCAGUCUUGGGAAUAAUCUGGAAGCUGAAGUAUUCUACAGAGCAUUCUUGUUGACAUUUCCAAGAAUGCCGGCCUCAUUUCUUCCACAGCAAAAUAUAAUGUUAAGCUGCCAGCCUGAUGUCAUCUUUGUUGACAUCUGAAGUCAACAGCCUGGAAAAUGCACAGUAGGGUCCUCCUUGGAUGCCUGAGGCUUUUGCUUUUGUUCAGGGCCUCUUCCCCUACAUCAGCGUGCUGCAUCAGCAAUGGGUACCACUGUCGAUGGCAUACCUGCCACCAUCUGCUUCCACUGUUUACAGAACAAUGUCCCUUGCAGUCUUUCCAUCCCCAAUCUUCCCACUUCUACUGAGUCCCCUCCAUUCAGGACUAACAGACUUGCAAUAGAAACCUGCAGAAAACACAAGACCUGCAGCUGCGGAGCGAGCAGAGCAAGCUGUUGGCAAUAAGCCUGCCCUGUGGCAUGCUUUUCAGAAGACGUUUCUGGUGGAAAAGUUCCCAAACCAUCCACUUGAGCUGGGCGUGCCUUCAGCAGAGAGCUUCACAAGAUGGCCUCCAGAAGUCCCUUCCACAUCACGUGCUUCUCUGAUUCCAAGAACUUCAGAUGCUGAUGAUUAUCAAAAUUCCAAUUUCAGACACGACCACAACUCGGAAAAUCCAGAGGUCUUAGGAAAAGUCAAUUAUAUUGAAGUCCUUAACAAACAUGACUGAACGAGCAGUUCUACAAUCAGAAAGCAACUCUGUUUGGAUUCACUUCAGAGGAUUCAAAGGUCCAACAAACACCAUCACCUACGUGAUCCUUACAUAAGAAAUACAUCAGUGGAAGGUACUCCAGAGAUCAACUGGUAAAAUAUUGUCUUUCAUCAUUGCUAUAGGGUGCUUCUGACAGUAUGCUGAACCUUCUGUUGUGUUAUACAUUCACAUCAGAAUAACAAAUGUCAGCUGAACACUAGGAUUGAUGUCCUCUCAUCUACACAUAGGAUUAUCUGCCAUUUGAGAGAAGGUAUAAACUCUUAGAGUGAACAAUAAAAGCCAAGAUCUGCAUUACUGAAGUUUAUUCUGGCUCUGAGCACAAGUUCCAGUGAAAUCAAUUUUUUCUUCCCUUUUGAUUAUGCUGAGUGUUUGUGUUGGCACAGCCAUAGGCAAUGGCUAAAACUGAGGUUCAGUCAUAAUGUAAAGAAAGCCACAGAAAAUGACUACUUAGAAAUGCCAGCAGCGGACUGCUGAGCCCUAACAGACAUAUGCUCCAUUUGGGCUUUUCCUGCUCUUUUCCUGUCCUUCAUCUAAUAGGUUUCCAUACCCCAUUAACUUUUAAAACUUGCUUGUGAAGGGUGGAAGGAAUAGAGUAAUUGAAAGUAAUUGAAAUCUCAUCCUUAUGCCCAACCCUUAAGAGAACUCCAUUGCACAAGUCACGUUAUUUGGAAAUGUCAGUGCUUUGGAAACUAGGUUUUAAUCCUAAGAGCAAACAUAAAUUAACUGUAUCUUCCCAAGUUCUACUAAAUAUAGUAGAAACAUCCCCAGGGAUGCAGCAAGACCUACCACAGGGCUUCACUUAGCCCAACAGCUCAACAGAAAAAUGACUGCUAAAAGGAAAUAUGCGAUUACUGUCUGUAGAAAAUAAAAUAAAUACAAAUUGAGCUGCCAAGUUUUUCAGGUGACCAUUGGAACACAGCAGAGAUUGUGAUAAAAUGGCUGUGGUAAGAUAGUUUAGAAGAAAUCUCCCACUGCAGUAAACAAGGGGAAUACUUGAGGGAAAUCAUCAAUAAUGAUAAUAAAGCAGAACAAAACAAAUACUGUGCUACAAGCAAACACAACACUAAGUCAUCCAGAAGGUCCUAGCCCCGUUCUAACAGAAGAAGCAGGAAAAAAAAAAAAGAGUAAACCGUGGAUCUGCCUGUUUCUAAAAGCACAGCUACUGUAUUGUCUCAGCAGAAAGCAGAAUUGAUCACACUCCAUGCCCUGUGUAUUGCUAGAAACCUGUCAGGCUCUGCCUUAACGACAAUCUGAGUAACUUAUACGUAUUCUUUCAGUACCACAGCCACCCGAGAGCAGACAUACGGGGAAAGAGAGCCGGGCUCCAGGAGGACGGCUGUGCGGAGGAGGGCACGGGCUGCAGAACGAGGCGGCCCAACGGCCCCCAACGCCCGCGGAUUCGGCAGCGGGAGCGCAGCCGCACCGCUCGGGAC